CAAUGUUUUUGUUUUAUCAAAAAUGUAAUUCCCUUUUUCUUUGAAUUGAAGCUGACUCCUUCCAACUUGAAUGAGUAAUGGGGCUGGAUACUUUAAACCCUCAGCACAGGAUCAGACCACAGAGCUAGCAAAGAAAAAAAAAAAAAAGAAAAGAAAAAAGUAGUGAAAUCUGAGAAACAUAAAUGAUUGAUAGCAUCUCAGGCUGAAGACUGCUGAAACGUGUCGAUGACAGCAGGACCUGGCGCUGAAAACAAUCAUCAUACCAAAUGACAGAACAAUUAGCGUUGCCAGCAGAGAAAAUAGUAAGUGAACCAACCAAAGGCCAGUGUGUUUAUUUUCCCACUCAGAGACAUCGUCUUCCCAGGUGGGGACUCUGAAAACAUUCCUGCUGAAGCUGACACGGUUUUUACUUCAGUGAGGGACUGGUCUGUUCCAAGCAGGAAAUUAACCCAAACUUUAAGAGAAAGCAACACAAGCU
ensembl:lncRNA